CCUACGGGAGGCAGCAGUCGGGAAUCUUGCGCAAUGGGCGAAAGCCUGACGCAGCAACACCGAGUGAGCGACGAAGGCCUUCGGGUCGUAAAGCUCUGUUGUUGGGGACGAAGGGUUAGGGGUUAAUAGCCCCGAGCCUGACGGUACCCUUCGAGGAAGCCCCGGCUAACUACGUGCCAGCAGCCGCGGUAAUACGUAGGGGGCGAGCGUUGUCCGGAAUUAUUGGGCGUAAAGAGCGUGUAGGCUGUUCGGUAAGUCUGCCGUGAAAACCUGAGGCUCAACCUCGGGCGUGCGGUGGAUACUGCCGGGCUAGAGGACGGUAGAGGCGAGUGGAAUUCCCGGUGUAGCGGUGAAAUGCGCAGAUAUCGGGAGGAGCACCAGUAGCGAAGGCGGCUCGCUGGGCCGUUCCUGACGCUGAGACGCGAAAGCUAGGGGAGCGAACAGGAUUAGAUACCCUGGUAGUCCUAGCUGUAAACGAUGGACACUAGGUGUGGGGGGAGUCGAAUCCCUCUGUGCCUGGCUAACGCGUUAAGUGUCCCGCCUGGGGAGUACGGCCGCAAGGCUAAAACUCAAAAGAAUUGACGGGGGCCCGCACAAGCAGCGGAGCAUGUUCUUUAAUUCGAUGCAACGCGAAGAACCUUACCUGGACUUGACAUGGUGCUGCAAGCGCACGGAAACGUGUGACCUUCGAGGGGCACCACACAUGCUGCGUGGCUGUCGUCAGCUCGUGUCGUGAGAUGUUGGGUUAAGUCCCGCAACGAGCGCAACCCCUGUGGCGUGUUGCCAUCAUUAACUUGGGGACUCACGCCAGACUGCCGGUGACAACCGGAGGAACGUGGGGAUGAGUCAAGUCGUCUUGUCUCUUAGUCCAGGGCAAAACUUGCUACAUGCUGAUACAAGGGUGCAGACCCAAGUGACCCAAUCUCCUUUAUCAUUCAAGUUCGAUCGCAUCUGCACCGCCUGAUGACGAGGAUUGGCAUAUCCUCGU
rnacentral:rRNA from 1 species